CUCAAACCAGUUCAACUAUCGGGAUUACAUACAGAGCCUCUAUGGUUCUCUUUAUCCCGAGGAAAGUCCCCGGAGACAGGACGGAAAGCGUCGCACUAUGACAGUGAAGGCCGAGGUGGUUAUCGUAGGGGGGGUGUGCCCGAUCCGACUAUCUACUCGUAGCGUUGCUCAGAGCAAAGUUGAUGUUGACAGGACGUUAAUGUCUAACCAAAUGGGGCUUACUCGGUUAUGAUCUCCUUUCUUUUGUGUAUUUUCUAACUGGUUUAUGAGGUUUAUGAGGUAUAUACGUAGUCUGUAACGUUAGAUAAAAUAAAAAUAGCUUUAGAAUAUGAAUGCGUUUAACUCAAUC